AAGGACUUAAGUUAAAUAAACUAGUAACCUUCAAAGUUACAAAUAAAAGAACACUUUUAGGCCUUA
rnacentral:tRNA from 1 species